GCUGAGUAAGGCUGCAUUUGCUCUCUGCCUGGCUAUCUUCAAGCUGGGACAUCGGUCUUCUCCUACCUUCAGACUGGAACUAACCACCUCUCCUGCUUUUCAGGCCUUCAAACUUGAACUGAAACUAUACCACUGGAACUCCUAGCUCUCCAGCUUACAUCACAGGACUUCUCAGCUUCAAUAAUCCACUCCUUUCAUCCAUGGGUAGAGUCUCUUCCUCACGCCUUGGAUCCUGGCUGGCUUGGUGACUUGCUUUGACCAACAGAAUGAGAUGGAAGCAACAUGAUUGAAGCUGCAGAGCUCAGGCCUCAGAGGCUUAGCUCCUGCCUUCAUCAUCUGAGAAUCCUGAGGCCACCACUGUGCCAGGAAGAAGAUGGAGAUGCAGGACCACAUGAGAGGGAAGCUCAGUGCCCGGGCAUUCCAGCUAAGCCCAGCGUCUAGUGGAUGCAGUCACCGAAGCCAACCCAGACCAGACCAGUGGAAUAAGCCCCCAGCCAACCCACACAACUGUGAAAAAGAACAAAUUGUCAUUUUAAGCCACUACGUGUGGAGUGGUUUGUUUCUCUACAAUAAACAACUAAAACACUUUGCAGAUAA